rnacentral:tRNA from 1 species
UCAAAAAUAGUCUAUUAGACGCUAACUUUGGGAGUUAGAGGGUGACGUGAGUCAUUUUUGAA